GACGAACGCUGGCGGCGCGCCUAACACAUGCAAGUCGAACGAGCGAGAGAGAGCUUGCUUUCUCGAGCGAGUGGCGAACGGGUGAGUAACGCGUGAGGAACCUGCCUCAAAGAGGGGGACAACAGUUGGAAACGACUGCUAAUACCGCAUAAUGUGUUUUGGGGGCGAUCCCUGAAACACCAAAGAUUUAUCGCUGAAAGAUGGGCUCGCGUCUGAUUAGCUAGUUGGUGGGGUAACGGCCUACCAAGGCGACGAUCAGUAGCCGGACUGAGAGGUUGAACGGCCACAUUGGGACUGAGAUACGGCCCAG
rnacentral:rRNA from 1 species